rnacentral:rRNA from 1 species
UACGUAGGGUGCGAGCGUUGUCCGGAAUUACUGGGCGUAAAGAGCUCGUAGGCGGUUUGUCGCGUCGUCUGUGAAAUCCCGCAGCUCAACUGCGGGCUUGCAGGCGAUACGGGCAGACUUGAGUACUGCAGGGGAGACUGGAAUUCCUGGUGUAGCGGUGAAAUGCGCAGAUAUCAGGAGGAACACCGGUGGCGAAGGCGGGUCUCUGGGCAGUAACUGACGCUGAGGAGCGAAAGCGUGGGUAGCGAACAGG